rnacentral:rRNA from 1 species
UGGGGAAUAUUGCACAAUGGGCGCAAGCCUGAUGCAGCCAUGCCGCGUGUAUGAAGAAGGCCUUCGGGUUGUAAAGUACUUUCAGCGGGGAGGAAGGGAGUAAAGUUAAUACCUUUGCUCAUUGACGUUACCCGCAGAAGAAGCACCGGCUAACUCCGUGCCAGCAGCCGCGGUAAUACGGAGGGUGCAAGCGUUAAUCGGAAUUACUGGGCGUAAAGCGCACGCAGGCGGUUUGUUAAGUCAGAUGUGAAAUCCCCGGGCUCAACCUGGGAACUGCAUCCGAUACUGGCAAGCUUGAGUCUCGUAGAAGGGGGUAGAAUUCCAGGUGUAGCGGUGAAAUGCGUAGAGAUCUGGAGGAAUACCGGUGGCGAAGGCGGCCCCCUGGACGAAGACUGACGCUCAGGUGCGAAAGCGUGGGGAGCAAACAGG